rnacentral:rRNA from 1 species
GCUUACGGCCACACCGCCUGGUUCACGCCUGAUCUCGGAAGCUAAGAUAGGUUGGGCCUGGUUAGUACUUGGAUGGGAGACCCCUGGGAAUGCCAGGUGCUGCAAGCU